GAUGAGAUUUCCCAUUCCGCAAGGAAGUAAGAUCCCUGAAAGAUGAUCAGGUUGAUAGGUCUGAGGUGGAAGUGUGGCGACACAUGGAGCUGACAGAUACUAAUCGAUCGAGGACUUAACCAC
rnacentral:rRNA from 2 species